AAGAAAAGAAAGUGCCCAGCCCAGCAGGAUGAAGAUGGGCCAUACGUCAAGAAGCCUCCAAAUGCCUUCAUGCUCUAUCUCAAAGAGCAGAGGCCAAAGGUCAUUGCUGAACUCAACAUCCCUGGAAAUGCAGCCGUAAAUGCAGUGGUGGGACAGAGAUGGAAGUCGCUUUCAAACGACCAGAAAGCCAGAUAUUUCAAGCAGGCUGAAACAGAAAGACAGAAUCAUGCCAAAGAGCAUCCAGCCUGGUCGACCAAAGAAAACUAUGUAUGUCCAACAAUAAUUUCAUUAUAGACGAUUGGACUGAUUUCAAUUGAAUUAAACUGUUACUCCUGUUAUUUCAACAUCUGUCUUUGUGUAAAUAAAUGAAAAAACAAACAAAA